CGUGUUAACUAAUUUAAAAUACUCUGAGGGUAACAUCACUUAGUUUUCAAUCAGUAAAAGAUGUAUUAAUAACUGCAUCUCAUUUAUUUUUCAGAUUUUUCAACACUGGUCUUAAUUAGUGGCAAAUAUCGUUUGUACAUUUAAAAUUUCUUCGUGUUAACAAGUUUAAAGUUUUUAAAAUAUUAUCAAAUUAUGUAUCUUGGAGGCAGCCAACAUUUCUCUUGAAGAAUUCCCUUAAAAAUGACAAGUUUUGAAGAAGAAAGUAAAUACUGUAUUUACAACUGAAAAAAAAUGGAUUUGAUAUUGUAAAGUAAUUACUUCCAAGCUAUGCUGAAUACUGUAUAUUGUAUUUCGUAGAUUUUCUGUAUCAAAGUCCGAAAAAGAGAAAGUUUUUCUGUGGAAAUUGUGACAAAAAAUUCUGUUUAAAUUCACUUUGAAAUUCAUAGGAGGAUUCACACAGCAAAAAUCGUUUUGUAGCCAGUUAUGCGGUAAAACCGAAUUUUUCGCAAUUAUUCCGGAGAGAAAUCUUUUACCUGCACCACUGCAAACGGAGAUUUACACAAAAGAUCAAUGUAGAAAGGCAUCUUCGAAUUCAUACGGGAGAGAAAUAAUCUAACUGCGAUUAUUGUUUACAAAAGUCUGCUUACAAAUACAGUGUAAAUUCUUACAUGAAACGCUGUAGCAAAGAUUUUCUUAAUUAAUAUAAUUAUUGUAAAAUUUCGAAAUUUGAAAGAAAUAAUAUAAUUCCCAACGUUGCUAUUUAUUCAUUUCCUACGA